AUUGAACGCUGGCGGCAGGCCUAACACAUGCAAGUCGAGCGGUAGAGAGAAGCUUGCUUCUCUUGAGAGCGGCGGACGGGUGAGUAAUGCCUAGGAAUCUGCCUGGUAGUGGGGGAUAACGUUCGGAAACGGACGCUAAUACCGCAUACGUCCUACGGGAGAAAGCAGGGGACCUUCGGGCCUUGCGCUAUCAGAUGAGCCUAGGUCGGAUUAGCUAGUUGGUGAGGUAAUGGCUCACCAAGGCGACGAUCCGUAACUGGUCUGAGAGGAUGAUCAGUCACACUGGAACUGAGACACGGUCCAGACUCCUACGGGAGGCAGCAGUGGGGAAUAUUGGACAAUGGGCGAAAGCCUGAUCCAGCCAUGCCGCGUGUGUGAAGAAGGUCUUCGGAUUGUAAAGCACUUUAAGUUGGGAGGAAGGGCAGUUACCUAAUACGUAAUUGUUUUGACGUUACCGACAGAAUAAGCACCGGCUAACUCUGUGCCAGCAGCCGCGGUAAUACAGAGGGUGCAAGCGUUAAUCGGAAUUACUGGGCGUAAAGCGCGCGUAGGUGGUUUGUUAAGUUGGAUGUGAAAUCCCCGGGCUCAACCUGGGAACUGCAUUCAAAACUGACUCACUAGAGUAUGGUAGAGGGUGGUGGAAUUUCCUGU
rnacentral:rRNA from 1 species